GUUUCGAGUAUCUUAUUUCUUAACCUAUUUGAUAUUCUUAUUUUUUCUAUUAACAUAGUAAGCAUACUUAUUUUAUAUUCUUAUGUGAUAAUUCUGUUGUUUGAAGUGUUAACUGUGUCUGAAUAUAUCCUUGUUGGUUUUGUUCUCAUUUAUGGGGCACUGUUUUCUUGAUACAUUUUGUUACUAUUUUCUCUGAGUUUAUAUUGAUGAAAUCUUUAAGGCAUGAAUUGAAUGUGUCUUUCUCCCAUAGAUGAACCCUAUGACUUCUAAAGAUCCAAACAGACAAACAGAGAGAAGUUCAACGGAGAACUCUAGAACAUCCUAGAGGGAGCUACUUAGUGAUAGGAGCAGAGCCAGAUGGACUGCCUUGAGAGCCAAAGCAGAGAAUUAAGCUUUUGUGCGUGUGUAAAAACAAGAAGGGACAAUGAGCAUGUCAUCACAUCUCUGACAGGGUGUUAUGUACGCUUCCCGGAUAAAAGUUAUACAGGAUGUGUUCUGUGUCUUCAAGGAGGGUGGGGUCCGGUGGAGGCAGGAGCUAACCCGACAGACAAGGACACUACGGCGUGGUCGGUGCUUUGGUCUAGAAGGGCUUUUGGACGUCAACCAUCCGCUUUAUGA
rnacentral:lncRNA from 1 species